rnacentral:lncRNA from 1 species
CGACAAAUAGAUUUGGAGAACUUAAAAUGCUAACUUCCUUAUUUGAUUGAUAAAAGUAGAAGAAUCCUAAAACAACACUAAAUAACCAAGAAAUAAAAGUCACUAAUGGGCAUUGGCCUUAUUACAUUCAUAAAGCGAAAAAAGUAAAUUCCUAUCUACUUGGUCCCUGAAAGACCUUCCCCAUGUUGAAUGCUCUCAUUCAUAAAAUCCUCCAGUUCGCGUAGGUUCACCAAUAAAAAUGCCUUCGCCAGGUGUUCUCCUUCUUUUUCCUCAACGUUCUAGCAGUCAGUGACUCUCUUCCUCAUUUUUCCUUCCAAUUCCAGCAGACCGUACUCCAGAUAUUCAAACUUUCCAAUAGAUUUGGCGGCCCACUCUUUCCACUCAUUGGUUUGGUCAUUGUAUGGAAGACUCCUCCACCAGUCUAGCAAGAGUGGGGGUGUGCUAAUCAUACAAAAAUUGGGGACCUCGUGCCGCAUUUUUUGCAAAAUAAAAAGGUUAUCCCCUACCCCAACCAGACUCGACUGUUUAAUAUCAACAAUUAGCAUAAAGAAUUGCAGUUCUCCAAAUAAAUGGACAGAACCUGGUGAUGUUUAUUUGGGUAGAGGGAAACCAAAUAGACUUUGGAUAAGGCUAUCUUAAAGGAUCAUAACUGACCUGGAGAGGUUUGAUAGUGAUGCAUGCACAGUUUGGAUAGAGUAUGUUUUCUUUGGGGUUUUAGACUGGUAAGCUUGAGCGGACAACUAAAGGGAGAAGGCACGGAACCGUCGACUGCACCAUUGAUCGACUAGUUUUAC